AUACAUCUAGAUCCAUACCCCUAAACUCCCUAGAUGUCUUGAGUGGUACGUUUAAAUACGCUAUCGCUCUUUUUUG
rnacentral:sRNA from 2 species